rnacentral:ncRNA from 2 species
GGUCAAGAGCGCCAGCGUCAAGCCCCGGCUCGCUGGCCGGCAACCCUCCUCCGCGGUGGGGUGCUCCGGGUGACGACCAGGCCGUCGCGACAAUCGCGAACGGCAAGCGCGGACC